CUCUUUUAUUGACUCUGCGUCUGUGAUUGAGAGAAGCCAAAACUUCUGGACAUGAUUUUGUUCUUGUUUUGGGGAGGAGAACUGGCAUAUAUGCUAGUCGUUGGCCAAGUAUAUGGCUAAUUAUAUUAUACACGGGAGCAUUUAAAAACAGUACAGAAUAAUGAUGGUUGAGGACUCCCAAGACUUCUGGAAAGAAAAUGGAAAAGGUACUCAUAGUAGGAGCUAGACCAUGGAAGGAAAGACUUUUGUUACAGCCAUUUAUCUUUAGAAUGAUGUGAGGGAUGAAUCCAUGG
rnacentral:misc_RNA from 1 species